rnacentral:rRNA from 1 species
CCUACGGGAGGCAGCAGUGGGGAAUAUUGGGCAAUGGGCGCAAGCCUGACCCAGCAACGCCGCGUGAAGGAAGAAGGCCCUCGGGUUGUAAACUUCUUUUGUCAGGGACGAAACAAAUGACGGUACCUGACGAAUAAGCCACGGCUAACUACGGGCCAGGAGCCGCGGUAAUACGUAGGUGGCAAGCGUUAUCCGGAUUUACUGGGUGUAAAGGGGGUGUAGGGGGGAGAGCAAGUCAGAUGUGAAAUUCCAGGGCUCAACCCUGGAGAUGCAUUUGAAACGUUUUUUCUUGAGUGAUGGCGAGGCAGGCUGAAUUCCGUGUGUAGCGGUGAAAUGCGUAGAUAUACGGAGGAACACCAGUGGCGAAGGCGGCCUGCUGGACAUUAACUGACGCUGAGGCGCGAAAGCGUGGGGAGCAAACAGGAUUAGAUACCCCGGUAGUC